rnacentral:rRNA from 1 species
AUUGAACGCUGGCGGCAGGCCUAACACAUGCAAGUCGAACGAGUGGCGGACGGGUGAGUAAUGUCUGGGAAACUGCCUGAUGGAGGGGGAUAACUACUGGAAACGGUAGCUAAUACCGCAUACCAUCGGAUGUGCCCAGAUGGGAUUAGCUUGUUGGUGGGGUAACGGCUCACCAAGGCGACGAUCCCUAGCUGGUCUGACAGGAUGACGGGCCACACUGGAACGGAGAGACGGUCCAGGCUGCUACGGGAGGCGGCAGGGGGGAAUAUUGCACAAUGGGCGAAAGCCUGAUGCAGCCAUGCCGCGUGUAUGGAGAAGGCCUUGGGGUUGUUAAGUACUUUCAGCGGGGAGGCGUUACCCGCAGAAGAAGCACCGGCUAACUCCGUGCCAGCAGCCGCGGUAAUAC